CUACGGGACGCUGCAGUGAGGAAUAUUGGUCAAUGGGCGCAAGCCUGAACCAGCCAUCCCGCGUGGAGGAAGACGGCCCUAUGGGUUGUAAACUUCUUUUCAAGGGGAAGAAUUGUCCCGACGUGUCGGGGCUUGCCGGUACCUUUGGAAUAAGCAUCGGCUAACUCCGUGCCAGCAGCCGCGGUAAUACGGAGGAUGCGAGCGUUAUCCGGAUUUAUUGGGUUUAAAGGGUGUGUAGGCGGAUCGGUAAGGCGGCGGUGAAAUGCCAUGGCUCAACUAUGGAAUUGCCGUUGAUACUGUCGGUCUUGAAUAUGGUCAAGGUAGGCGGAAUGUGUAAUGUAGCGGUGAAAUGCUUAGAUAUUACACAGAACACCGAUUGCGAAGGCAGCUUGCUGGGCCAGAAUUGACGCUGAGGCACGAAAGCGAGGGGAUCGAACAGGAUUAGAUACCCUCGUAGUC
rnacentral:rRNA from 1 species